rnacentral:lncRNA from 1 species
CUGGGAAAAUGGAACCAAUAUGAUUGGGACUUGGUCUGUGGAGGAGAGCUGGUGGGAGCACCACCUUGUGGCAGUCCAAUAAGAGAGCCUGGGGUUCAGGUUUGGAACUAGCGGGCUUGAAGUAGCUCUCCAGGGGCCUCAGGUCUUAGCUCCAGCCACAAUCCCAGUUUUCUGCUGUUGGUAAGAGCAGCCCUACAAGUGGUCUGAGAGCUUGUGUGCUUUGCAUGUCACUGACUGGAGGGUGGACCAGGUGUUCUCUCUUGGCAGGGGCCAAGAGGAGACUGAUGGCAGUUACCGGAUGACUUCAUGUAUCCCGAGAGGCAGUUGCAAGGACAGUCAAGUCCCCCAGGUGGGUCCCAGGAUCUAGAAUCACAUAGAAUACAAGGAUCUGGGCACAUCUAUGAAGACAUUUUUGGAUUGGGCUAAGAUAGGAACUCAUCCUGAAUGUGGUGGCACCAUUCCCUAGGCUGGAGUGUUGGACCGAAUCAAAAGGGGAAAGUAAGCUGUGUCCAGCAUUCAUCUUUACUAUUUCCUAACUGCAGGUGCAGAGCUCCUUCCAGCUCCUGUUACCAAGCCUUAUCUACAGUGGUGGAUGGACUCAAGUUAUGAACUCAAAUAAUCCCUUCCUUCUGUGAGUUGCUUUUGUUGGGUAUUACAGCAAUAAGAGAAGUAAUUUGUAUGAAAACUAGUUCACUUUUCUCGAUAAAAGAAAUUCCCAAAC